rnacentral:lncRNA from 1 species
UUUAGACCUUUAUUUUAUUCUCUUUUGUUUUUAAAAUGAAGCACUGCCCCACUUUGGAUUAAAUGUCGAACUUUCUCCUAAAUAGUUUAAUUCAAGACUUCAUAUCAAAUUAGCGUGAAUGCAUAUAGUAAGUAUUAGUCGAAGCUUCAAUUUGAUGGUCACAUAUUCAUUUACUCUAAAUUCCUGGCAUUAAUGAAUCCGUAGUAAGGCUGAAUAUAUUAUUUGAGUUGCCAAUCCGUUUUGUUUUGAGAAUCUUACUUCAGAAAUCCAUUGGUAUUUGUUCCUUGUUCGCAAGAUUCUAAAUAUUUUUUUAUCAUGAUUAUUAUUCUAUGUGUG